CCUACGGGUGGCAGCAGUGGGGAAUAUUGCACAAUGGGGGAAACCCUGAUGCAGCGACGCCGCGUGAGUGAAGAAGUAAUUCGUUAUGUAAAGCUCUAUCAGCAGGGAAGAAAAUGACGGUACCUGAGUAAGAAGCCCCGGCUAACUACGUGCCAGCAGCCGCGGUAAUACGUAGGGGGCAAGCGUUAUCCGGAUUUACUGGGUGUAAAGGGAGCGUAGACGGCAGUGCAAGUCUGGAGUGAAAGGCGGGGGCUCAACCCCCGGACUGCUCUGGAAACUGUACGGCUAGAGUGCAGGAGCGGUAAGUGGAAUUCAUGGUGUAGCGGUGAAAUGCGUAGAGAUCACGCAGAACACCGAUUGCGAAGGCAGCGUACC
rnacentral:rRNA from 1 species